AGAGUUUGAUCCUGGCUCAGGAUGAACGCUAGCGACAGGCUUAACACAUGCAAGUCGAGGGGCAGCGGGGGAGUAGCAAUACUCCCGCCGGCGACCGGCGCACGGGUGAGUAACACGUAUGAAACCUGCCCGUAGCAGGGGGGGAUAAGCGGAAGAAAUUCCGUCUAAUACCGCGUAACAACCCUUGGAGGCAUCUCCUCGGGUUUAAAGGAAGCGAUUCCGGCUACGGAUGGUCAUGCGUCGCAUUAGCUGGUUGGCGGGGUAACGGCCCACCAAGGCGACGAUGCGUAGGGGUUCUGAGAGGAAGGUCCCCCACACUGGUACUGAGACACGGACCAGACUCCUACGGGAGGCAGCAGUGAGGAAUAUUGGUCAAUGGCCGCAGGGCUGAACCAGCCAAGUCGCGUGAGGGAUGACGGUCCUAUGGAUUGUAAACCUCUUUUGUCAGGGAGCAAAGGGCGCCACGUGUGGCGCUUUGCGAGUACCUGAAGAAAAAGCAUCGGCUAACUCCGUGCCAGCAGCCGCGGUAAUACGGAGGAUGCGAGCGUUACCCGGAUUUAUUGGGUUUAAAGGGUGCGCAGGCGGAAUGUCAAGUCAGCGGUAAAAUUGCGGGGCUCAACCCCGUCGAGCCGUUGAAACUGGCAGACUUGAGUUGGCGAGAAGUACGCGGAAUGCGCGGUGUAGCGGUGAAAUGCAUAGAUAUCGCGCAGAACUCCGAUUGCGAAGGCAGCGUACCGGCGCCAGACUGACGCUGAGGCACGAAAGCGUGGGGAUCGAACAGGAUUAGAUACCCUGGUAGUCCACGCAGUAAACGAUGAAU
rnacentral:rRNA from 1 species